rnacentral:lncRNA from 1 species
AUGUUAAAAUCAUACGAUUUUCAGGAACACCUAAGUGUGUUUACAAAUUCCAUGCAUAUCCACUGGAUUUCUUCAAAACAGAAAGCCAUUGUGAUGCAACACAGAAAUUACUGGAGACCCAGCAUGUGGAUGACAGCAGCAGCACAAAAGGAGCACACCACCUUAACAGCAGGCUUGAUGGUUGUUCACACAAGGAGUCUGGCCUGCAUAAUUGUAUCACUAAUAAGCAGUAAGGCAAUUAGUUGUCACAGCCUCUGUGACAGAUUUGUAGUAAGGAAGGUCUAAUAGAAGAAAUCAAGGUUUUUUGAGAAGAUCAGAGAUAAAACAGCCCAAAUCGUUGCCAGAGAAGACUGGAGUAAAAAUGUGCUUAUGAAGCUAGAGAUUUGACUGUGUGAGCAUAUCUGAAGGCAAAACUAUGUGUAUAGGAACCCUGAAAAUGGAUUUUUAAAAAUUAUUAUAAAUAUGUUUUUAAAGAGUGGAGCAUCAUCUCCCUGUCGUAUUUCCUCAAGGGAUUAAUUAUGUUUUGCCUAAUAAAUUGUGAAGG